GAUGAACGCUAGCGGCAGGCCUAAUACAUGCAAGUCGAACGGAUAUAUGUUUUUCGGAAUAUAUAUUAGUGGCGCACGGGUGAGUAACACGUACAUAACUUGCCCUCAAGCGGGGGAUAGCCUUGGGAAACUGAGAGUAAUACCCCAUAGAAUUAUUGGACGGCAUCGUUUGAUAAUUAAAACUACGGUGCUUGGGGAUAGAUGUGCGUCUGAUUAGCUAGUUGGUGAGGUAACUGCUCACCAAGGCGACGAUCAGUAGGGGGCGUGAGAGCGUGGCCCCCCACACGGGUACUGAGACACGGACCCGACUCCUACGGGAGGCAGCAGUAAGGAAUAUUGGUCAAAUGGAGGGAACUCUGAACCAGCCAUGCCGCGUGAAGGAUGACGGCCCUCUGGGUUGUAAACCUCUUUUGGCAGGAAACAAACCUGCGCUAUACGCGCAGCUGAGGGUACCUGCAGAAUAAGCACCGGCUAACUCCGUGCCAGCAGCCGCGGU
rnacentral:rRNA from 1 species